CAGCAGCCACGGUAAUACGAGGGGAGCUAGCGUUGUUCGGAAUUACUGGGCGUAAAGCGCGCGUAGGCUGCUUUUUAAGUCAGAGGUGAAAGCCCGGGGCUCAACCCCGGAAUUGCCUUUGAAACUGGAAAGCUAGAAUCUUGGAGAGGUCAGUGGAAUUCCGAGUGUAGAGGUGAAAUUCGUAGAUAUUCGGAAGAACACCAGUGGCGAAGGCGACUGACUGGACAAGUAUUGACGCUGAGGUGCGAAAGCGUGGGGAGCAAACAGGAUUAGAUACCCCGGUAGUCCCUGUCUCUUAUAC
rnacentral:rRNA from 1 species